UAGUAGUAGUACGAAUAAACGAACACUA
rnacentral:piRNA from 1 species